AUAUUACUCCCUCCGUCCCAAAAUAAGUGUCUCAAGCUUAGUACAAUUUCGUACUAAAGUUAGUACAAAGUUGAGACAUUUAUUUUGGGACGGAGGGAGUAUAUU
rnacentral:pre_miRNA from 1 species